rnacentral:rRNA from 1 species
UACGUAGGGUGCGAGCGUUGUCCGGAAUUAUUGGGCGUAAAGAGCUUGUAGGCGGUUUGUCGCGUCUGCCGUGAAAAUUCGAGGCUCAACCUCGAACUUGCGGUGGGUACGGGCAGACUAGAGUGUGGUAGGGGAGACUGGAAUUCCCGGUGUAGCGGUGAAAUGCGCAGAUAUCGGGAGGAACACCGAUGGCGAAGGCAGGUCUCUGGGCCACUACUGACGCUGAGAAGCGAAAGCAUGGGGAGCGAACAGG